UACGGAGGGUGCAAGCGUUAUCCGGAUUUACUGGGUUUAAAGGGUGCGUAGGUGGGCAGGUAAGUCAGUGGUGAAAUCUCCGAGCUUAACUCGGAAACUGCCAUUGAUACUAUCUGUCUUGAAUUUAUCUGGAGGUGAGCGGAAUAUGUCAUGUAGCGGUGAAAUGCUUAGAUAUGACAUAGAACACCAAUUGCGAAGGCAGCUCACUACGGAUAUAUUGACACUGAGGCACGAAAGCGUGGGGAUCAAACAGG
rnacentral:rRNA from 1 species